rnacentral:rRNA from 1 species
GCGAAAACUUUACAAUGCUGGCAACAGCGAUAAGGGAACCUCGAGUGCCAGGUUACAAAUCUGGCUGUCGAGAUGCCUAAAAAGCAUUUCAUAGCAAGGGCCGGGCAAGACCGGUGCCAGCCGCCGCGGUAACACCGGCGGCUCGAGUGGUAACCGUUAUUAUUGGGUCUAAAGGGUCUGUAGCCGGCCGGAUAAGUCUCUUGAGAAAUCUGGCAGCUUAACUGUCAGGCUUUCAGGAGAUACUGUCUGGCUCGAGGCCGGGAGAGGUGAGAGGUACUUCAGGGGUAGGGGUGAAAUCUUGUAAUCCUUGAAGGACCACCAGUGGCGAAGGCGGCUCACCAGAACGGACCUGACGGCAAGGGACGAAAGCUAGGGGCACGAACCG